rnacentral:rRNA from 1 species
CUUGGUCAUUUAGAGGAAGUAAAAGUCGUAACAAGGUUUCCGUAGGUGAACCUGCGGAAGGAUCAUUACAGAGUUCAUGCCCUUACGGGUAGAUCUCCCACCCUUGAAUAUUAUACCUUAGUUGCUUUUGCAGGCCGUGGAAACACCAUGGGCUCCGGCUUAUGCGUGCCUGCCAGAGGAAACAAACUCUGUUUUUAGUGAUGUCUGAGUACUAUAUAAUAGUUAAAACUUUCAACAACGGAUCUCUUGGUUCUGGCAUCGAUGAAGAACGCAGCGAAAUGCGAUAAGUAAUGUGAAUUGCAGAAUUCAGUGAAUCAUCGAAUCUUUGAACGCACAUUGCGCCCUUUGGUAUUCCGCGGGGCAUGCCUGUUCGAGCGUCAUUUCAACCAAUCAAGCCUCGGCUUGGUCUUGGGGUUUGCGGUCCCGCAUCUCCUAAACUUAGUGGCGGUGCGAUUAAGCUCUGAGCGUAGUAAUUCUUCUCGCUAUAGGGUCUUGGUCGUUACUUGCCAGUAACCCCCAAUUUUUAUCAGGUUGACCUCGGAUCAGGUAGGGAUACCCGCUGAACUUAAGCAUAUCAAUAAGCGGAGGA